CAAAAACAAGGCUUGGACUGACUGACCAAACGGCACCUAAACACCACUUUUCACUUCAGGAUUUGUACAUUUAGUUAAGAAAACACGAGAAAAGACUGGAAAAUUUGGGAUCAUUAUGUUCCAAACUGGUAAAAGAACAUGGGGUGAGGAAAACAACAGCACAGCACCACCUGUCUCAGAGCACUGUGUGCACUGUUGGGGAUAUCACAAGAGUACAGCAUCAAAUAGCAAGGAGCCCCACUGGGAAAGUCUGCAUCCCACAGAAAACACAUCGAUGCAUCUCUCUAAAACACUGAGGAAGAGGAUUACAGACUAAACUUUCUGAUAGGCUGAAGUAUUGAUCUGAUGUUCACUCUGUCUGGUUGGAUCCCUGAGGCAGUAUAAAGCAUUCAUUGCCUGGGCAGCUCUACCGAUGCACAACGAUUAAAUAUAUCAUCCCACAGGGUGGGAGGAUUUCUGCUCCAGAGUACAACAUUCCUGUCCUACUGUGUCCUAGUCCCAUAUGCGGUAUGAUGAGGAAAGAUUUUGUGCAAAUUAAGUUGGAAGGCAAGACAGUGUCUGGAUGUUCUUAAGAGUCUCAGAUAUUGGCUCAAAUCAGGGGCAGAGUUCUAAAAUAAUAGUAUAAUGCUGGUACUGGGAGUUAGCUCAGAGAGGAUUCACAUUUAGAUGAUGUUUUGUGUACUUGUCAUCCUCACUCAUUUAUAAUUUACCUGACUUGAAAUCAGAGAGAAAUUUGCCCAUAUCUGACAGACAAGAAUGCAUCCACUAGAUUAAAUAUUUACAAAGUAAAAUAGCCACUUUUAAGUGAUAAGUUGAUGAGUGUUCACAUUUAUAUGGUUAUGCUUGAUGAAUUUUUAUUGAUCAUUAUUUGCCUAUUUUGAACAGAUCACAAUCAAUAAUGAAAAUAGCAACUUGUAGUCAACUCUUCUGACUGGUCAUAUAACUGUUGCUUGUUUUGUGUUGUCACAACAUGCUUUUCUCCAG